rnacentral:rRNA from 1 species
CCGUUGCAAGGGACUCCGAAGAGCUGUGGCAAGGGGUGAAAAGCCAAUCUAACCUGGAGAUAGCUGGUCUUCUGCGAAACCCGUUUUAGCGGGUCGCCCAUCUAUUGAAAUUAAAUUCGUUACUAGACGGUACGGCACUGGAAGCCACGCAGCUUUUGCUGCAUAAUCGGGGGGCUGUCAUGGCUCUAUCGAUGGCUUCUAACCCCGGAAAUGUAUAGUAUACAAUGAUGGGCAAUCAGACGUAUCGUGAUAAGGCGAUUCGUCAAAAGGGCAACAGCCCAGAACAGGUGUGUAGGUCCCUAACAAGCUACUGAGUGAACACAAGGCAGUCCUCUCUAGUGUCUCUCCACAAAGUGGGCUUGGAAGCAGCCACCUUUUAGCGAUAGCGUAACAGCUCAGUGGUCUGAGCCUCCCUGUAAAAAGGGAAUAUUGCCUGGUGAGGGCGCCAAAAAUGUAACGGGUCUAUAGUAGUUGUCUCUCUGUUCCAGCUUUGGAUAUGGAGGGAGUGGCAGUUUCUUCACUGUCUCACCGAAACCCUGUCCUAGAUGUAAAAUUCUAGGGGUAGCAGAAUACCCAGCAAAUGGAAUGAAGCUUGCUCAUUGAGCCGGUGGACAUAGCUGGGCUAAGAAUGCUGACAUGAGUAGCCUAAAAGGAGGGUAAUUCCCUCUUCGCCGAAAGCAGAAGGGUUUCAUUUGUAAGGUCUAUACCUAGAUGAUUAAAGCAGCGGCCUCUAAGGUUCAGAGUAACAAAUUAGUUCCGAUGAGUAACUCUUCUAUAGGGCAGUAACCUUCCUUAUAAGUUUACCUUCAAGUAAUUAGAGGUAUACUUCAAAGAGUAAGGUUCGGGAAAGAGCCCUACAGAAUAAAUCUUAAAACCGUACCCUAAACCGACACAGGUCUGCAAGUAGAGCAUACUAAGGCGUAGAGAUAAUCGUCUUGAAGGAACUCGGCAAAAUGACCCCGUAACUUCGGGAGAAGGGGUGCCACUAAUAAGUGGCGGCACUAAACAGGGGGGCGCGACUGUUUACUUAAAACACCGGACUCUGCUAACACUAGCGUGGAUGUAUAGAGU